AUUGAACGCUGGCGGCAGGCCUAACACAUGCAAGUCGAGCGGAUGAAGGGAGCUUGCUCCUGGAUUCAGCGGCGGACGGGUGAGUAAUGCCUAGGAAUCUGCCUGGUAGUGGGGGAUAACGUCCGGAAACGGGCGCUAAUACCGCAUACGCCCUGAGGGAGAAAGUGGGGGAUCUUCGGACCUCACGCUCUCAGAUGAGCCUAGGUCGGAUUAGCUAGUUGGUGGGGUAAAGGCCUACCAAGGCGACGAUCCGUAACUGGUCUGAGAGGAUGAUCAGUCACACUGGAACUGAGACACGGUCCAGACUCCUACGGGAGGCAGCAGUGGGGAAUAUUGGACAAUGGGCGAAAGCCUGAUCCAGCCAUGCCGCGUGUGUGAAGAAGGUCUUCGGAUUGUAAAGCACUUUAAGUUGGGAGGAAGGGCAGUAAGUUAAUACCUUGCUGUUUUGACGGUACCAACAGAAUAAGCACCGGCUAACUUCGUG
rnacentral:rRNA from 1 species